rnacentral:rRNA from 1 species
GACGAACGCUGGCGGCGUGCUACUACAUGCUCCGUCGAACGCUUUUUCUUUUUACCCGAGACUUGUCUCAUCGAAAGAAAAGAGUGGCGAACGGGUGAGUAACACGUGGGUAACCUACCCUCGAGCGGGGGAUAACAUUUGGAAACAGGUGCUAAUACCGCAUAAUAACAGAAGAAGCAUUUCUUUUAUUUGAAAGUCGCAAUUGCGACACUCGAGGAUGGACCCUGCGGUGCAUUAGCUAGUUGGUGGGGUAACGGCUCACCAAGGCCACGAUGCAUAGCCGACCUGAGAGGGUGAACGGCCACACUGGGACUGAGACACGGCCCAGACUCCUACGGGAGGCAGCAGUAGGGAAUCUUCGGCAAUGGACGAAAGUCUGACCGAGCAACGCCGCGUGAGUGAAGAAGGUUUUCGGAUCGUAAAACUCUGUUGUUAGAGAAGAACAAGGGUGAGAGUAGAAUGUUCACCCCUUGACGGUAUCUAACCAGAAAAGCCACGGCUAACUACGUGCCAGCAGCCGCCGGUAAUACGUAGGUGGCAAGCGUUGUCCGGGAUUUAUUG